CAGCAGCCACGGGAAUACGAAGGGGGCUAGCGUUGUUCGGAUUAACUGGGCGUAAAGGGUGCGUAGGCGGGGUUUUAAGUCAGGGGUGAAAUGCCGAGGCUCAACUUCGGAACUGCCUUUGAUACUGGAACUCUUGAGUCCGGGAGAGGUGAGAGGAACUACGAGUGUAGAGGUGAAAUUCGUAGAUAUUCGGAAGAACACCAGUGGCGAAGGCGACUCACUGGCCCGUUACUGACGCUGAGGCGCGAAAGCGUGGGGAGCAAACAGGAUUAGAUACCCCCGUAGUCCCUGUCUCUUAUAA
rnacentral:rRNA from 1 species